AUAUAGAAUUAGUGUGUUUUGAUUUGGAUUGAUUGUGGUGUUGACAAAGGGAAGGGAGCGUGUCGUAGAAGGGGCAAUUGAAUUCCAAAGCCUUUCUUCCUCUGUCAAUCUCUUUCGCAAUUUCCCAAAAUCCAUCGAUAGAGGGAGGAAGAACAAAACAACAACAUGGUUCUCUCUCAGAAGCUUCACGAAGCUUUCAAAGGCACCGUCGAGAGGAUCACUGGCCCUCGCACCGUUUCCGCCUUCAAAGAAAAAGGUGUUCUCAGCGUCUCCGAGUUCGUCACCGCCGGCGACAACCUCGUCGCCAAAUGCCCCACCUGGUCCUGGGAAUCUGGUGAGCCAGGCAAGAGGAAGCCAUACUUGCCACCUGAGAAACAGUUCUUGAUUACUAGAAAUGUGCCUUGUCUUCGGAGAGCGGCAUCUGUUGAAGAGGAAUACGAAGCUGCUGGAGGGGAAGUUCUACUCGAUGAUGAAGAUAAUGAUGGGUGGUUAGCAACUCAUGGGAAACCUAAAGAAACCAAAUCUGAUGAGGAUGAGAAUUUACCUUCCAUGGAAAGCCUGGAAAUCAGCGGAAAGAGUCCUAUUAAGCAAAUUCCUUCCUACAUGGGAGCUGACGAGGAAGAAGAUAUUCCAGAUAUGGCAGAGUUUGAGGAUACUUCCAACGUUAUUGAAACUGAUCCUGCUACUCUUCAGUCCACAUAUCUAGUCGCCCAGGAGCCUGAUGAUGAUAAUAUUCUACGAACACGAACUUAUGAUGUCAGCAUUACUUAUGAUAAAUAUUAUCAAACACCACGAGUAUGGCUUACUGGAUAUGAUGAGUCAAGAAUGCUUUUGCAACCUGAACUUGUCCUUGAAGAUGUUAGUCAAGACCAUGCACGCAAAACGGUAACGAUUGAGGACCAUCCUCACUUGCCUGGGAAGCAUGCAUCUAUUCAUCCAUGUCGGCAUGGAGCAGUAAUGAAGAAAAUCAUUGACGUACUGAUGUCGCGUGGAGUUGAGCCUGAAGUUGACAAGUACUUGUUCUUAUUCCUAAAAUUUAUGGCUUCUGUAAUUCCAACAAUUGAGUAUGAUUACACCAUGGACUUUGAUCUUGGUAGCACCAGUAAUUGAAUAAGUGAUGGUGUCCCAUGCCAAGUCAUGUAAAUGGCAAUACAUUCUACCUAGUUUCUAUCUGCAGUCAUGUCUCUCUUACUAUUGAUGGGAGCUGCUUGUUCAAGUAUAACUCGGGAUGUUGUCCAUUGUUGGUUUUCGUUUAUCCCAAGCACAUAUCUUUCUGUAUUUAUCUGCGUAUAAUCUUUGAUUGUUACACAGUUGGUGUACAUGUCAUGUAAAUUGUGGUCAUGACUAUGAGGAUGUUGAACAAAUUUCCUUUUAAGAUGUGUACAUAAUUGACAUACCAUUCGCAAGACUAUCUAACGUUGUGUUUGUCCCUAUAAUUUAUAAAUUAGACUUGAUUGACUCAGUUUUUUGA